GCGGCAGGAGUUGCGGGCAGAGUGAAUCAUUAUUGAGGAUGACUCUGCGACCGUAAUUAGCUGGAUCCAGGAUGAGAUGAUGAACAUGAAUGACCAUCCGUUCUUACAGGACAUUCGGCUGUGUGUUCGUGACCACGUGGCAGCAUCGGCUCAACAUGUCUAUCCGAAAGCAAACAGCACCGCCGACUGGGUCACUUCCUAUGUGGCGAAGCAUAUCAGCGAUAG
rnacentral:lncRNA from 1 species